rnacentral:rRNA from 1 species
UACGUAGGGUGCAAGCGUUGUCCGGAAUUAUUGGGCGUAAAGAGCUCGUAGGCGGUUUGUUGCGUCGGCUGUGAAAUCCCGAGGCUCAACCUCGGGUCUGCAGUCGAUACGAGCAAACUAGAGUGUUGCAGGGGGAGACUGGAAUUCCUGGUGUAGCGGUGAAAUGCGCAGAUAUCAGGAGGAACACCGGUGGCGAAGGCGGGUCUCUGGGGCAACAACUGACGCUGAGGAGCGAAAGCCGUGGGGGAGCGAACAGG